GGGCUCAUAGCUCAGAUGGUUAGAGCGCUGUCUUGACAUGGCAGAGGUCUCAGGUUCGAUUCCUGAUGGGCCCACCA
rnacentral:tRNA from 1 species